CCCAACCCACCGCUCAAAACACACCUGAUCCCCUCCGUCUUCCUCCCGCACAGAACCCCGCAGCCCCAAUCCUCCUCCUACCUCCUUCCUCCCCGUGCCACUGGAUCACCACCCCACCACGCGCCCACCGCCCCAAUCCUCCUCCUGCCUCCUUCCUCCCCGUGCCGUCGGAUCCCAAGCCCACCACGCGCCGCUGGAGCCCCGCCCCGCCACGUGCCGUCAGAGCCCCGCCACGCCACGCGCCACCGGAGCCCCGCCCCUUGCCGCCGCUGCCGCCCAUCUAGGUAAGAACGGAUCCGCUGGGAUCCCCACCGCCAGCCAUACAACCUCUGCCGCCGCAGUGGGGCAGCGCCACCACCUUGGUCGUGGCCAUGUGCCUGGAUGCCGAGGCUAGUGCGGCCAUGGCCCCGAGCUCGCCUCUUCUCUCGCGCAGGGACACUGGCUGCUGCUCAGCCCAGCUACCAACGGAUCCUGUGGGAUCCCCACAGCCAGCCACGCCUCCUCCCUGUUGCAGUCCAGGCGUUCCACGCUUGCAGUGCGCCAGGGCAGCAAUGCGGUUUGGUGCGCGUGGCCAUGCAGAUCCACCCCCCGACCACUACAUCCCGCCACCCCAGCCUCCCACCCAUCACCAUGCCUCCAUGACGAUCGGGAGCCAAGCCAGCUGCCUGCUACAGUCGCUAAUUCAGGGAGGUUGCCACCCUCGUCGUGUCCCACCACUGCAGCAUCAACGGCAGGGUCGGUCAUCACGGCAACGAGGCCCCCCGGGGUCAACGCCAUCCUGCCACCUCUUGCGUGUGCAGUGCACACCUUGCUGCACAGCAGUCUGCGACCCCACUCUGUAGUUCUCGACCACGGUGCAGUACACACCACCGUCGUCAACGACACUGGCGCCAUGCAGUUCAUUGGCCCCGGGCAAGCAGUGUAGGUUGCUCUCACUUCAGCUCGGUUGGGUCGUCGGUGCAGUACGCAAGGACUUGAGAGGACGACGGGCAUGCAGUUCCCUGAUACCUAUUUCUUGUUUGAUAAAUUUGCCGGCGACCAGCAGUAGGCCGGGGGAGGCGCACUAGAUGUCGUCGGAUCCAACCAAGUGCGGGCGCGUCGAUGGCCACCGCUUCACCUACCCCGCACCAGCGACCUGUAGGAUGGUUCACGCCUUCCCCUGGCCCUCUCCCAUGUCCCUGCUCCAAUCUCCUUGUGAGGAAGAAGGCGGGGAAGUAGGUUCUGGUCAUCAGUGAUGCUCCGACGUCUCCAAUGCGAGAGUGUAUCUACUCCAUACUCCUUGUCCCUCUCAGGCGUACUGCCUGUCCAGCACCGAGCUGUAGUUCAUCAGCGACGCCAUCUUAUAGUGAAAUUUCAUGUUGAAGUUGUCCCAGUCUCUUGGGGGUGCUUUUGGUCUUUACUUAAUCAAUUUUUGGUGGGUUUUCAUAUUUUCUUUUGUGCAGUCCACAACAGUUUUGAUGGUGCUUUGGGUUUGUGCGUGGGUGGCCACUGAUGCCAGGAUCGGGAGCUACUGGGGCGUGCCGUUCCUUUGCUCAGCCCAGGUCCCUGUAGCCUAGGCGUGUAGUACACGGGCACACCGGUCGGCGCCUUGCAAUUCACUGGCUUGUGGCACGCAGCUCUGACGUUGCGUCCGUGCAUUUGGAUAGGGUGCUCUUUCGUGCAGUUAACAUUUAUUUGUGCAUUCUAAUUAUGCCAAUUUCUGUUGUGUUUUCCAAAGUGCAAUAAGACACUGGUGGUGCAGGCAAGCAGUACAUGGCCGCGCCUGUGUCCAACUGGUGUGGUCCAGCGUCAGCGGAACGUGCAGUUCGUGCAGUUCGCAACAGCAAAAAGCUUGGUCUUCAGUGAGCUCUUGGACAUGUCACCUAUUUCGUUCCUUGCCCUAUUUACCAUCUCUAGAUUUGUCAAAUUUGAUGCUUUCAUACUCUGUUGGCGCCAUCAUCCAACAUUUUGCUGCCUAUGUUUUCUACAGCUAGACUGGGAACAUGGAGACGUUUGCAUCUUGCUUCCACAAAAAGGUAAUAAUACAAGGAGUUAUUUGGACCGUGUAGUGUUGCUACCUGAGAAAGGGAUGGGAGUUUCAGACUAAAGACAGACACGAUGGGUACCUUGCUCAGUUUCAGAUAUUGGAUUCAGUUACAGGCACAUCAACGAUUCAAAUAAAGUCUCACAGAAGAUGGGGAACCCAAGCCCAUAUAGAGGCUACGUUCAUGCAUUGCUAGGUUGGUACGGGAAAACCAAAACUCUAUAGAGAAAAAGAAAAAUAAAAAUGCAGUGCACUCAAGUCUUUAAAAAAGUCCGCUCCGAAGAACUUUGUAGUACAUUUUAUUUUAAAAAAUGUAUUUGCAAAUGUUUACGUCAUGUUCGUUGAAGAAGUUUAAAAUACUAAAAAUGAGUAGAGUGGUUCACUUUCGAGAGUGCUUGCGGCUCAUUUUCAAGAGUCUUGCGGUUCACUUAGACCCACAAAGUAAGAAAGCAAAAAGAUAGGCAAAAUAAAAAAAAAAGCAAUGGAGUUCAUUUUCGG